rnacentral:sRNA from 1 species
UGACUGGAGGGGAAGCCACAGUUGAU